GGGCUUAUAGAUCAGCUCGGUAGAUCGCCGCUUUCGCAUGGCGGAGGCCGCGGGUUCGAAUCCCGCUGAGUCCA
rnacentral:tRNA from 2 species